GAUGAACGCUGGCGGCGUGCCUAAUACAUGCAAGUCGAGCGAACGGACGAGAAGCUUGCUUCUCUGAUGUUAGCGGCGGACGGGUGAGUAACACGUGGAUAACCUACCUAUAAGACUGGAUAACUUCGGGAAACCGGAGCUAAUACCGGAUAAUAUUUUGAACCGCAUGGUUCAAAAGUGAAAGACGGUCUUGCUGUCACUUAUAGAUGGAUCCGCGCUGCAUUAGCUAGUUGGUAAGGUAACGGCUUACCAAGGCAACGAUGCAUAGCCGGCCUGAGAGGGUGAUCGGCCACACUGGAACUGAGACACGGUCCAGACUCCUACGGGAGGCAGCAGUAGGGAAUCUUCCGCAAUGGGCGAAAGCCUGACGGAGCAACGCCGCGUGAGUGAUGAAGGUCUUCGGAUCGUAAAACUCUGUUAUUGGGGAAGAACAUAUGUGUAAGUAACUGUGCACAUCUUGACGGUACCUAAUCAGAAAGCCACGGCUAACUACGUG
rnacentral:rRNA from 1 species